ensembl:Y_RNA Y_RNA Y RNA
GGCUGGUCCGAUGGUAGUGGGUUAUCAGAACUUAUUAACAUUAGUGUCACUAAAGUUGGUAUACAACCCCCCACUGCUAAAUUUGACUGGCUUUUA